AAGUCUAGCGACAUAUUACUACAGCCUUUCUCAUGCUUCAGGAAUGAUCUCAUUUCUCGUCUGCUGGAAACUGGAUAUUCUUCUACAAAGAGCAU
rnacentral:snoRNA from 2 species